CCUACGGGACGCAGCAGUGGGGAAUAUUGCACAAUGGGGGAAACCCUGAUGCAGCGACGCCGCGUGAGUGAAGAAGUAUUUCGGUAUGUAAAGCUCUAUCAGCAGGGAAGAAGCAGACGGUACCUGACUAAGAAGCCCCGGCUAACUACGUGCCAGCAGCCGCGGUAAUACGUAGGGGGCAAGCGUUAUCCGGAUUUACUGGGUGUAAAGGGAGCGUAGACGGCUAAGCAAGUCUGAAGUGAAAGCCCGGGGCUUAACCCCGGGACUGCUUUGGAAACUGUUAAGCUAGAGUGCUGGAGAGGUAA
rnacentral:rRNA from 1 species